rnacentral:sRNA from 1 species
AACCCCCCCAGCUAGGCUGGGGGUUCCGGAAAACGUCCUGCUUUGAGCCAGUUAUUAAAACCCCUUUUGAUUUGUUAAAACACUUUGCGGUCUGGCAACUGCAAGUGUCAAACAAGAAAUCAAAAA